GUUAAAUUUCAAGAGAAUAGUCUAAAUAAAGUGUUGAGAAUAAACUCGUUAAAUUUCAAGAGAAAGGUCUAAAUAAAUUGUUGAAAAUAAACUUGUUACAUUUCAAGAGAAUAGUCAAAAUAAAGUGUUGAGAAUAAACUCAUUAAAUUUCAAGAAAAACUGGAUACAUACUGGAUCCGGGUGACUGCAGUGACCCUCUGAUCUGGAUACAGACUGGAUCUGGUGGCCACGGUGACCUCGGAAUAAGAGAGAAACAGACUAAUAUUAGCGUAGAUGCCAUUCUUCUAACGAUUUAGCAAGUACAUCAGGUGUUAUUGGUUUCAACUUUUUUUCUCAAAUUUUAUCUUUUUCUCUAAAUUUAAUGACUUUAAUCUUAAAAUGGUUUUAUUGGUUUUUUUUUUUUUAUUAUUAUUAUUGCUUGGCCCUAAUCCUCUUCCUUCCUUAAAAG
ensembl:lncRNA